UACGUAGGGUGCGAGCGUUGUCCGGAAUUAUUGGGCGUAAAGAGCUUGUAGGCGGUCUGUCGCGUCUGCUGUGAAAAUCCGGGGCUCAACCCCCGGACUUGCAGUGGGUACGGGGCAGACUAGAGUGUGGUAGGGGGAGACUGGAAUUCCUGGUGUAGCGGUGAAAUGCGCAGAUAUCAGGAGGAACACCGAUGGCGAAGGCAGGUCUCUGGGCCACUACUG
rnacentral:rRNA from 1 species